AUCACCUAAAGAUUGUGUCUAUGGAAUCGGCUCGCGCGCGAAUCGGUGUUUUUGGUGGUAUUUUAUCGCUCUCGGCCUCGUUUUGUGUGUGAGAUGGAUCCUGGACAUCAAAUUUACUUCUGCAAAUGAAUCGCGGAAGGUGACGGCGAUCCGUUGCAGUUUCACCUCGCCUAGAGGUCGCCUCCACACGGCGAUGGCUGGGGUGCAAUACAGCCUCUUGGAAGGUCGCCUUCAUCAAACCUUCUCCCAUGCAUGUCUACUGUCGGCGCACCAAUCACAGCCAUCCAGUGCGGAAGCAAACUCGUCCUGAAUGGCCCGGCCAGACAGGGCGAUGUCUUCUCUCGCAGACGACCGCCAAUCACAAGGAAGAAUCAGCGAAAGACCUCAAGCAGGUGUAUAAAGUUCACAUAGGGACACCGGGUUAAGGAAGGGAAGCCAGCCGCCAUGUUGAAUGACCUUGACCUCGGGAAUCAUCAUAGUUGACCCUGGCCUUGACACUUCACAGCCAACACAUUCAAGCUUUCAAAUUUUGCGCACUCCCAUGCUUCCAUACUUGUACCUGUAUGUACUACUCGCUCAAUCGCAUACUUGUUCACUCGUAUACUUGCGCGCUUUUUUUUACAAGCUAUAACUAGAGACCGGAAAAAUUCGCGGGUUCAGUGACCUUCAGGAUAGACUCCAAUAUUAUCUACACACUCGGGCAAAUGCCAACUGUUCAUUGGCUGCUGACUUGUGAGUCGUCUCGACUGGGUGGCCUGUGAUUCGACACUUCUACGAGUGAGGGUCUCUAAUUGGCCCUCAGUCCUCCAGAUUAACAGUUGACCAAUGGCAGAUGCAGCACUAAUGAAUAAUUAUUUGAAUUUUAGCAUAACACGAAAUGAACCCGCGAAUUUUUCAGGUCUCUAGCUAUAACUUAUUUAGCCGGGUAGAGAGAUUUUUGGUAGGGGCAAAACUUAUGGGUUCGCGUCACCGACAUGCUAGUGACGUGUUGCGCCAGACUGGCGAAUCGCAGCGGCCUGUGUACAUGUAUACGCAUAUAUACACUAGUACAUUGUAUAUACUCGACUGUAUCAUGUGCGUGUUGAACUCUUUUUUUGGAUGGGUAAAAUACUUGUGAGUUCGUAUCACCGACAUGCUCUAGUAGCAGUAAGUGAAGUUAAUUUGACCACGUGAAUACAUGACCUAGGUCUGACAUAACUGGGGUAAGUCAUAGCUAGGUAAUGAAUUUUUACGUAAUUUUGACAUACCACUGACAUCUGUCGUGACUAAAAUAAUGAUGUAAGGAUAAAUGAUACCAUGCUGACAUCAUACUGAUGUUUAUAGAAAUCGAGGUAAAGAGAGCUGAGAAAAUCGGUAUGAAAUAUUCUGACGUCCUCGCCCGAUAAAAUAGAAAUCAAAAAUUUCAAUUUUCUUUAAUGAAAAGAAAUUGUUUACAAUAAUCUCCCGAAAAGUAAAACAAGAAAAUAAAAAUAAGGAUAUUUUUAUAGCCAAUAAGUAGAGACAUGAAAAAUUCGCGGGUUCAUUUCGUGUUAUGCUAAAAUUCAAAUAAUUAUACUUUAGUGCUGCUUCUGUCAUUGGUUCACUGUUAAUCUGGAGGACUGAGGGCCAAUUAGAGACCAUCACUCAUAGAAGUGUCGAAUCACAGACCACCCAGCCGAGACGACUCACAAGUCAGCAGCCAAUGAACAGUUGGCAUUUGCCCGAGUGUGUAGAGGAUAUUGGAGUCUAUCCUGGAUGUCACUUAACCCGCGAAUUUGUCCGGUCUCUACCAAUAAGACAGUGUCCAACUUUUAUCUAAUUGCCAACUGCGUACAUAAUAAUUUUACAUGUGAUCAUGAAUUUUUAUCCCUUUCCCUUAAAUAUUUGUCAUAAUUUAUUGUGAUUUGUAGAGGCGUGAUUUACGACUAGCUUAUAUAAACUUACUGAAAUACGUGUAUGUAAUUCUUUUGCAAAGCGUUUAGGAUAGCGCAUAAUACUGGUGAGCUUUAGGUACUAGGUCCGGUUCCCAAGUGUUGCUAUUUAUCGUCUAUUAUUUUUUUUUUGUAUUUGAGUCACAUGGAAUUAUUUUAUUAUAUAUUUAUAAUUUAAUAAUUAUGAUUUAAAAAUAAAUAUUAUAAUUGUAUACUAAUUGUUAUUUGAAUUAAGUUGUAUUGAUAUUCUGUACUGGGAUUGUA